AAUAUUGGACAAUGGGGGCAACCCUGAUCCAGCCAUGCCUCGUGUGUGAAGAAGGUCUNCGGAUUNUNAAGCACUUUAAGUUGGGNGGAAGGGCUUUAGGUUAAUACCCUUAAGUUUUGACGUUACCAACAGAAUAAGCACCGGCUAACGCUGUGCCAGCAGGCGCGGUGAUACAGAGGGUGCAAGCGUUAAUCGGAAUUACUGGGCGUAAAGCGCGCGUAGGUGGUUCAGUAAGAUGGGUGUGAAAUCCCCGGGAUUAACCGGGGAACUGCUUUCAUAACUGCUGAGCUAGAGUACGGUAGAGGGUAGUGGAAUUUCCUGUGUAGCGGUGAAAUGCGUAGAUAUAGGAAGGAACACCAGUGGCGAAGGCGACUACCUGGACUGAUACUGACACUGAGGUGCGAAAGCGUGGGGAGCAAACAG
rnacentral:rRNA from 1 species